rnacentral:rRNA from 1 species
UACGUAGGGUGCAAGCGUUGUCCGGAAUUAUUGGGCGUAAAGAGCUCGUAGGCGGUCUGUUGCGUCUGCUGUGAAAACCCGGGGCUUAACCCCUGGCUUGCAGUGGAUACGGACAGACUAGAGGUAGGUAGGGGAGAAUGGAAUUCCCGGUGUAGCGGUGAAAUGCGCAGAUAUCGGGAGGAACACCCGUGGCGAAGGCGGCUCUCUGGGACGGUACUGACGCUGAGACGCGAAAGCGUGGGGAGCGAACAGG